UACGAAGGGGGCUAGCGUUGUUCGGAAUUACUGGGCGUAAAGGGCACGUAGGCGGACCAUCAAGUUGGGGGUGAAAUCCCGGGGCUCAACCCCGGAACUGCCUCCAAGACUGCUGGUCUGGAGGUCGAGAGAGGCGAGUGGAAUUCCGAGUGUAGAGGUGAAAUUCGUAGAUAUUCGGAGGAACACCAGUGGCGAAGGCGGCUCGCUGGCUCGAUACUGACGCUGAGGUGCGAAAGCGUGGGGAACAAACAGG
rnacentral:rRNA from 1 species